GUUCUCAGUUCGGACUGUAGGCUGCAACUCGCCUACACGAAGCUGGAAUCGCUAGUAAUCGCGGAUCAGCACGCCGCGGUGAAUACGUUCCCGGGCCUUGCACACACCGCCCGUCACACCAUGAGAGUCUGUAACACCCAAAGCCGGUGGGAUAACCUUUAUAGGAGUCAGCCGUCUAAGGUAGGACAGAUGAUUAGGGUGAAGUCGUAACAAGGUACC
rnacentral:rRNA from 1 species